AGCUCCAAUAGCGUAUAUUAAUGUUGUUGCAGUUAAAAAGCUCGUAGUUGGAUUUCUGGAUUGAACGGCUGGCCUUGCGCGCAAGCGUUCGUGUCGGCUUCUUCGGUCCAUCCUCAGGGGAACGUGCGCUGGCAUUAACGUGUCGGUGUUCGGACGCCUGUCGUUUACUGUGAACAAAUUAGAGUGUUCAAAGCAAGGUGUACUUGAAUACAUUAGCAUGGAAUAAUAAGAUAGGACUUUGGUGGUUCUUUUUUGAUAUUUUGUUGGUUUGCACGCCAAAGUAAUGAUUAAUAGGAGCAGUUGGGGGUAUUCGUAUUCAAUUGUCAGAGGUGAAAUUCUUGGAUUUAUAGAAGACGAACUACUGCGAAAGCAUUUACCAAGGAUGUUUUCAUUAAUCAAG
rnacentral:rRNA from 1 species